rnacentral:rRNA from 1 species
GUGGGGAAUCUUGCGCAAUGGGCGAAAGCCUGACGCAGCCAUGCCGCGUGAAUGAUGAAGGUCUUAGGAUUGUAAAAUUCUUUCACCGGGGACGAUAAUGACGGUACCCGGAGAAGAAGCCCCGGCUAACUUCGUGCCAGCAGCCGCGGUAAUACGAAGGGGGCUAGCGUUGCUCGGAAUUACUGGGCGUAAAGGGCGCGUAGGCGGACAGUUUAGUCAGAGGUGAAAGCCCAGGGCUCAACCUUGGAAUUGCCUUUGAUACUGGCUGUCUUGAGUGUGGGAGAGGUGAGUGGAACUCCGAGUGUAGAGGUGAAAUUCGUAGAUAUUCGGAAGAACACCAGUGGCGAAGGCGACUCACUGGCCCAAUACUGACGCUGAGGCGCGAAAGCGUGGGGAGCAAACAGGAUUAGAAACCAUUGUAGUCC